AACACAAUUCUCUCUUGUAAACUUCCUUUGUCAAUACAAGGCUAUUUACUUGUAUACUUGGGGGAUAGUGCACGGUCCUCCCAACCGCCAGAGUGAUCUCACUCCGGGAGCCGCUACCCGACCAAGCUAGCUCCACGGUGACUUCCCCAUGCCGAGUUCUUAUCCUGGGCGACAUAUGCCACUCCCAAGACUCGAACCCGGUAACUCUGGGAAGAGGUGGGUGUCGGUGGCCAACUGGGCUACCCCAGUUGGUUUUUUUACUUGUAUACUUGUGCACAAGUAUUACAAGCAAUUUUCUUGCGAUCAAAUGUUCUCUUUAACAAGUUCUAUUACAAAAACUCAACGACACUAAGUCGGAAAGCUUACUUAGACGGUGAUCUAAGGUCGUACACGAGUUGAGAAACUAACUUCAUGACAUGUCACUAGUCACCUUUGGAGUCCUUUUUCAUGUUUCUUUUUUUCUUCACUAUAUGCCACUUAGAAACAUACACUUCCCCGGUUUCAAAUGCUUCUUGGAUGGCCCCCUCUAUCUAUCUAUACUUUUUAUAAAAGGAGAAAUAAGCAUUGCAUCACAAUGCUUACGUGACAAUCAGAUACGUUGUCCAACAAUGUUUGUCUUAUGUCAUUAUUGUAUCAUAAAUCCUUAAUUUAAAAUCUUCUUAAAUGCAUUUAAAAUACAAAAAUCAGAUUUUACCCUUUUCAUUUGUAUUUCAAAUUCACAUCCCUCCAAAACCUCACAUUAUUACAUCCAAUUCCAAAUUCGCAUCCCUCCAAACCCUCACAUUUCAAAUUCACAUACCACUUUCUCUCUCUACAUCCUCUCAUGCCAGAUUCAAAUUCAUUUCAAAACCCGUGGUCUCUCUCUCUCUCUCUUUCUUCUUUGUGACACCAGCAACCAAAAAACUGAUUUCAUCUAGAAUCGGUCCAAGUUUUCACUGUUGAUUCCGACGAAGAUGACACUGGAAUCCCCGCCAUUGACGCCACCAGCGAGGAAUCGAAGGAAGACGAAGAAGAAGAUGAGGUUAGAUUUUUUUUUUCUGGAUGUUGAUGUGUUGAAGACGAAAAAGAAGUCAGGCCAUCGCAUAGUAGUCAAGCAAAAUCGAGAUUCUCAACGAUUCAGAACUGAAGUUGAAGAUUUAGAUGGAAAUACCCAGAUGGGUUUUUUUUUGUGAAACCGAUCAAUUUACUAGCUUUUAGACUCCUAAUCUCGUAAUCUGCAUUUAGAUUUGGUUGUUGUACCAGUAGUCUUGUAAUAUGUAAUUAGGUUUAGUUUUCAUAGUCUGCAAUUAGGUUUUAAAUUCAUAAAGAAGAACCCUAUGCAUUCAGAUCUGGUUGUUGUACCUAAAAAGUGAAGUUCGUCAUCCCUUUUUCUUUACAAGUUUGCAAAGAAGAACCCUCUGCAGGGUGAUGAGGAGAUAUGGGUUGCCCGGUCUUUUAAGAAGGGGUGGGAAGACUACUCUUCUUUCUCUACACAAUAACCAAAAGACCAAGUUAGAAAAGAUAAAAGCGCGGCGUCUAUUGGCUAGGGAAGAGGAGGAAAAAAGGAAUCAAGGAAUGGAAAUCAAAGAGGAGGAACAGAGGAUAAAAACUUUAGAGCUUGAGAGCCCUUGAAGAAGCAACUGAGGACGGUGAACACUAUGUUUCCAAAAGGCAGAUUGUGAAAAAAAACGAACCAGGAAGAGGAAGAAAGCAAAGGUGAUCGAUCUGUACAUAAGGGACUAUAAAGAGCUUGGCAGCUGAGGGAUCUAAGAAAGACGGAGCGGGUGGGAAGCGUAAAGGGUCUAAAAGUGAGAAAACACAUGUAAAAUUUAAUUUAACUGAAGUUUUUAAAUUUAUUUGCAAAAAGAUGUUAACUUAAAGGUGUCUAAGACAUAUCAUUUUAGAGGUGUCCAAUUUAGAUGUUAAUUUAGAGGUGUCUAAGACAAUUUUCUGUCAAAAAGUCAAAACUGGUGCAAUUUUUAACCAAAAGCGGAUUAAAUCCAA